rnacentral:rRNA from 1 species
GACGAACGCUGGCGGCGUGCCUAACACAUGCAAGUCGAGCGGAGUCAGAAAGAGGAAGUUUUCGGAUGGAAUCUUAUUGAUUUAGCGGCGGACGGGUGAGUAACGCGUGAGCGACCAACCUUGCACAGGGGGAUAACGGACCGAAAGGUUCACUAAUACCGCAUGAGACCACGGUGUUGCAUGACACAGGGGUCAAAGGAGGAAUCCGGUGCAAGACGGGCUCGCGUCCGAUUAGGUAGUUGGAGGGGUAACGGCCCACCAAGCCUAUGAUCGGUAGCCGACCUGAGAGGGUGAUCGGCCACAUUGAAACUGAGAUACGGUCCAAACUCCUACGGGAGGCAGCAGUGGGGAAUAUUGGGCAAUGGGGGAAACCCUGACCCAGCAACGCCGCGUGAAGGAAGAAGGUUUUCGGAUUGUAAACUUCUGUCCUUGGUGAAGAGAAGAAGACGGUAGCCAAGGAGGAAGCCCCGGCUAACUACGUGCCAGCCGCCGCAGUAAAAC